rnacentral:lncRNA from 1 species
CCCUCUCUCAUUCGUCUCUAUAAUCUCCCACAAAAAACCCUAGCUACCCUUAUAACCCCUCGCCGGCUCCGCCUCUCUCAACCGCACUGAAAUUGCCUUAUGGCGGCGGAGCAUCUCCAAACUACACCAGACAAUCACCCUCUCCUCCUCGUUCCAUAUCUCAUAACCAUUCCUUUCAAAUAGAUCCAGAACCCCACGAAUCUUAGAUCUAAGAUUUAUAAAAACCUAAACUUUUCCUUUUUGAUUUUUCGAUCAAUUAUUGGGUUAUUUGAACCUAAGACUUACAUUAGUCAACUAUUCUUGUUGAACAGUUGAUUAAUGGUCAUCCAAGUCCACUUUUACCCCAUUAAAUUUGGUCUAAUUCAUAGCUGGUCCAGUCCAAAACGAGCCCUAGGUAAUUUUUUUCUUUUCCAUUUUUCUUUUAUGCUAUCUUCUGUUGUUAUUUAGGUAAUGACAGUGUAUUCCCUUUUUGUUAGUAUUGUCUGUUUGUUCCAUUUUUAUGUUAAUUGAAGCAUGCUGAAUGUUAUGACUAUUUGGAAGCUCAAUCUCGAUUGCAUCUGAUUUAGAUUAAUUAGGAUUUAAUUUUUAGAAACUGCAUGAUUGUUCUUUUCUUCUCCAUGUUUCCGGAUUUUGUUUAUAUAUUUAUGUUCAAAGUUUGUUUUAAGUUAAUUAAAAUGGUUUUACUCAUGUCCCAAAGGUUAGUUAACAAUCUAUCAGACCUGUUUUUGAUUAGCUUUAGAAAACCUUAGUCUUAGUUGAUUAAUGUGUUUAAUUGAAACUAAUUAAGAUGAUUUCUAUGUUUUCUUUGCAUAAGCAUUCUGGUUUUUGUUAGUUGUUGUUUUGUUACAAAUUUAAAUGCAAUGUUUGUUUAGGAUUAGUUAUAUAAAACUUGCCAAUUAGGUUUAAAACUUAGAAUUGAAACCUAGACUUUUGAUUAAUUUUAGAAAUAAAGGGUAAAUACGCCAAGGAUACAAAUUAAAGCAAGUUUAAGAAACCUUAAUCAUCUAGCUGGUUCUAGAAAGUCUGAAAGAGAUUUCUAGAAUCAGAAUAGGAUUUGAAUUGGUUAAAACUAAGAUAAUCAGUGAUUGAAGGGUUAAAAUUGGGUUUUACAUUAGGUAAACAUCAGAAGGUUCUAGAUUUAGUACAACUGUCCUCAUUCUUAGCAUGAAAAUGCUGGAAUUGGGCUGAAAAAGAACAUACAGCUGUCAAAGAUGCUGUACUAUUUUGACAUUUCAGAAUUUAGGUUAGAAUAUUCCAUUUUUUAUGCCAUCCUUGUGCACUCUAUAUAAAGAAAAGUAUUCACUCAUUCUCACACAGUUUUUCAUUCACAGCAUAUCUGCACCUAAAAAUUUUCAGAAUACAAAAAGAAAAAAUCCCAAUAACUUUUCUGAAAAAAGCAUCACUUUUCCUAGCUAGAUUUUAGGCUGAUUUCUCAAAUACAUUGAUUUCUGAGAAGUUUGGAGGGUUGUUCCUUUGGUUUUUGGGCUGAUUUCUACUGCUGCUGUUUGGGUUUUGGUUACUGCUUCAUCUUUAAAUUUCAAUCAGUAGUUCACUUGGUUUUCUUUUCUGGUUUCUUGCUGUUUAAGAGAUUUAUUUUCUCUUCUCUUUUUCACUGUUGUCAAGGUACACAUCUUGAGCUCACAUGCUUGAUUUGGGUUCACUUUUGUGACCUUUCAUGUUUUGUAUGUUUGUUGUGAUGUAGUAUUUUAGAUUUUAUAUAGAAGGUUGUAAAUAUUAAGCAUUUGGAAUGGAAGUCUGUCUUGACUUUGUGGUUGCCUUCCUAUCUUUCAGUCACUUUAAAGCAUGUUAUAUUGGCUAAGUCCAUCUUGGUAUUAUGAGCUGUUUAUAUUCUGUAAUUAUUUGUCUUGAAAAGAUGAAUGUUAAGCCCGUUGUUUCAAAUGCCUCAUUCUGUGUUUUGUUCUUUUGUUUUUAUAUGGAUGUCCAUGAUUCCUUCAGAUGUGUUAAUAUUCUCUUUACUAAGUAUGCGUUGAACACUUCUACUUAGCCUAGUUCUUGUGCGAAUAAAUCAGUUUAAGUGCAGUAGGUAGUAUGAUGUUCAAAAGUUUAAAGUUGGGUUGGUUUGAUCACAAGUUGUUCAAAUCUAUCCAACGAGUAGACUAAGCUAGUGAAGCUGGCUCAUGUGGAUCUAUGGCUGCAGUGCAAGGGAGAUAACGUAUGUAUAUAUUUUUUCCUUUUUAAACGUCUUAGCCAGAAUUGUCAAUUAUCAUGAUGCACACAAGAUUACCCAUGUAAAAAGACAGUGCAUGUUUAAGAUUAUAAUGUAAUUCUGAUCUCAAAUGCCUUGCGUGAUUUAUUGUAUUUAAAUGGGCUUUGAAUUUAUGUGUGGUAAUUAAUGUUAUCAUUGUUAGAGAGAUUAGUAGUGAUUUUCAUUAUUCUUGUGAUUGUAACAAUGUUGAAAGGGGGUUAGGCUAUGGCCAGACGUUAAAGCCUAAAUUUCGCCAUUAC